UAGCAUCAAGAGUCAUACCUAGGUAUUUAGCUUGAUUUUCAUGUGGUAUAUUAAUUCCAUUGAUGUUGAUUGGAAGGUACACAGCUCUCUUGUUGGUGAAGUUAACAUGAAUCGACUUUUCCUCAUUGAGCUUCAUUCUCCACUUUUUGGUCCAGUCUUGUAUCUUGUUGACAGAUCUCUGAAGCUUCGCUGUUGCAAUACCAACAUCACUGUCUACUGCUAGUAGGGCGGUGUCAUCUGCGAACGUGGCUGUGGUAUUCUCCUCCAAAUUAGGGAUAUCACUAGUGAAGAGAAGAUAAAGGACUGGUCCUAAAACACUUCCUUGCGGAACUCCUGCUUUUAUCUCUCUUAGAUCAGAAUAUGAAUCUUCAUAUUUGACUCUAAAGUACCUUCCUGUCAAAUAUGAUUGCAAUAUUUCUGUAAAUUGCUUAGGAAGCAUUUUCUUCAGUUUAUAAAGAAGUCCCUCAUGCCAUACUUUGUCAAAAGCUUGCCCUAUGUCGAGAAAAACUGCUGAACAAACCUUUUUUUCUUCCAAGCUCUUCUCUAUUAUAUUAACUAUCCUAUGUACUUGAUCAAUUGUGGAGUGUUUUUUUCUGAAACCAAAUUGAUGAUUAGGAAUUAAUUGCUUUCUCUCAAUUAUUGGCUUGAGUCUACUCAAUAAUAUCCUCUCAAACAACUUUGAUAACACAGGUAACAAUGAAAUUGGUCUGUAUGAAGCUACUUCAUGUGGUUCUUUUCCUGGCUUGAGUAACAUUAUAACUUCAGCUACUUUCCAGACUCCUGGUACAAAUCUGAGUCUGAAUGAAGCAUUCAGGAUGUUUGUUAGCUUGAUGAGUGCUUUCCUUGGUAGAUGCUUCAGGACUAAGCCAGUUAUCAGGUCAAAUCCUGGAGUUUUCUUAGCAUUCAUAAGUUUUAUUUCCUUUCUCACUUCUUCUACUGAGACAUUCAUUAGUUCUUGAUUUUCCUGCAUGAUGUUACCUUCAAUUUCUAGAUCUUCUUGAGCUGCAACGUUUGGCUGGAAGACAUUCACAAGAUGAUCAGCAAAUGCCUGUGCCUUUUCUUCAUUAUUCUUGGCCCAUUGUCUAUUCAGUUUCCUAAUAGGGGGAACUUGUUGGAUGGGUGUUUUUAUUUUCUUAGAAGCCUUCCAUAGUGAGUAAUCAGUGUUGCCUUGUCCUGUCAAAUUACUCAAGUAACUGUUGAUUGAUUCAUUUUUAAUAAACUGUAUCUCUCUUUUCAGUUCCUGUGUGAGAGUAUUCAGUAAUCUUUUAUCUUGAGGAGAACGUGAAUGCUGCCACCUCCUUCUAGCUCUUCUUUUCUCUGCAAUCAUUUCUCUUAUUUCCAAUGGAUAAUUAUUUCCUACUGUUCUUCGUUUCCUAGUCUGCGGAGUAUUACACCAGGCUGCCUGUUGUAUAUCAGUAACAAAUUUUUCCAG